rnacentral:misc_RNA from 1 species
CUGCUACAUUGGAUUUAAGAAACUAAUUACAGGGCAGGUUUCAAAAGUCGAUUUAAUUAAAAAAUUGCUUCAUUGGCAUCUGAAUUCAAAGCAGUCAAAUGAAAAAGAGAUUUAAUUAACUAAAGCUGAUUUAAGUGAAUCCUAAAAUUCAUGUACUUAAAAGCAAUAAAAUCUUAUGUUACGUACAUCAUUAUUACAUUAAUAAAUUGCAAUGGACCAUUUUUUGUGUUCUAAGAGUGGAACAAAUCUUAGAACACAAAAAAUGGGUUUAACAUGGUUAAAGUUCAUGCAUUCAAGCUUUCCUCACAUG